rnacentral:misc_RNA from 1 species
GUGCAUGGGUGCUUGUUAGGUAGAUAAAAUUACGUAGCGGCUCUCCUUUCAUUUUGCUUUCGUACUCCCCUUGCAUAUUCGCGCUUCGGCCCAGCAGACCCCCCUCCCCCAAACAAAAAAAAACACGCACGCACGCCCGCACAUACACGAAGAACGCACAAAUGGCGCCACCGAAGGCCUCUCUUCCCGCCCGCAUCUUCGCGGGUGACUUCAUGGGCAUCAACUGGAACCGUGUCAGCUGGAUGGCCCCGUACAACAACUUCUACCCCAUCACAAUGUGCGGCGGCUGGGGUGGUCGUAUGUGGUCCAGUUUUAUCCAGUACGGUCGCUUCGACAACCGUGCCGGCCUCAUCAUGGUGCGCAACCUGAUCAUGGGCAUCCCGACCGCUCUCAUGGCUCUGCUGAUGCUCGGCAAUAUGGACUGGUACCAGUCCAUGCAGUGCGCCUUCUACCUUCCCGGGAUCGCGAUGCCGCAGUGGGCGCAGAACGAGUACGCGAAGGAGAUGGAGUGGGCCAGCUGGAACAAGCCGGGCGCCAUGGCGAAACACCACUAUGCCGGCACUGUGUCGAUCCCCGGCACAGAGAAGUACAUCACGGAGAUGUAGAAGGCUGGCCGGCCGUGCGCCAGACAAGGGAGGACUGGCGCACGGCUGAGCUCGUGCCUGCCUUCGUCUACUCCUUUUGUGGUCACGUUGUCUUUCCCACGCUUAUCGCGUGGCAGCAUGCGCUGAAGUGGGUGCGUGUGAGUGCAUGCCAGUUCGCAUUGCGGCAGCUCAGCUUGGGUCGCUGUACGGACGGGCCGCGGGUGGACAGAUGCUGCCGUCGCUGCGGUCGACAGCAACCCAGUUGGCUUUGGUCUUGCUGCAGUGGCACGUGCGGAGGAUUGCGCGAGACGGGGCGCGAAAGCUGCACGGCAUGAGGGGAGUGGCAGUGCACAGAGUGGUGUCUCUCUCACACUUCAAUGUGCUUCCAAUGUGUUGUCUCGAUGAUUGCUCUCUGCGUAGUCUAUGUUCGUUUCUGUUUUGCUUCCUGUGUUUCGUGAGACACGCACUGGCUCUGCCUCACUGUCGGACACACGCACUCUCUCUCUCUCUCUCUCGAAAGAGAGAGAGUGCGUGUGUGUACCUGUGCAUGUGUGUGAUGAGGCGAAAUGCCGUGCAUGAGUGUGCCCCGCGCACGGUUUAGGUAGGAUUUGAUUUAAAGCUUUAGCCAAGAGGGGCUUCCACCGUCGACCCCACCUUCU